GGGUUGUGAGGUUAAGCGACUAAGCGUACACGGUGGAUGCCCUGGCAGUCAGAGGCGAUGAAGGGCGUGCUAAUCUGCGAUAAGCGCCGGUAAGGUGAUAUGAACCGUUAUAACCGGCGAUACCCGAAUGGGGAAACCCAGUGUGACUCGUCACACUAUCAUUAACUGAAUCCAUAGGUUAAUGAGGCGAACCGGGGGAACUGAAACAUCUAAGUACCCCGAGGAAAAGAAAUCAACCGAGAUUCCCCCAGUAGCGGCGAGCGAACGGGGAGGAGCCCAGAGCCUGAAUCAGCAUGUGUGUUAGUGGAAGCGUCUGGAAAGGCGCGCGAUACAGGGUGACAGCCCCGUACACAAAAGCGCAUGUGCUGUGAGCUCGAUGAGUAGGGCGGGACACGUGGUAUCCUGUCUGAAUAUGGGGGGACCAUCCUCCAAGGCUAAAUACUCCUGACUGACCGAUAGUGAACCAGUACCGUGAGGGAAAGGCGAAAAGAACCCCGGCGAGGGGAGUGAAAAAGAACCUGAAACCGUGUACGUACAAGCAGUGGGAGCCCCACCACCAAAGCAUUUGCUGUACCGCGUUGACGGAGCGAAGCGACGUCAAACCGAUAAAACAGCAGUGUAAA
rnacentral:rRNA from 1 species